rnacentral:rRNA from 1 species
GUCCUUGCUGUAAACGGUGUACACUUGAUGUAGCUGGGCUCGAUCCUGGCUGUGUCGUAGCUAACGCGAUAAGUGUACCGCCUGAGGAGUACGCUCGCAAGGGUGAAACUCAAAAGAAUUGACGGGGGCCCCGCACAAGCAGUGGAGCAUGUGGUUUAAUUCGAUGCAACGCGAAGAACCUUACCCAGGUUAGAAGUGUAGGGGACGAUAUUAGAGAUAGUAUUUUCCGCAAGGACCGCUACAUAGGUGCUGCAUGGCUGUCGU